rnacentral:tRNA from 1 species
GAACUAGCAUGGUCUAGUGGUUUGAGCGCUGGACUAGGACUCUGGAGACCAGAGUUCAAAUCCCUGCUUGACCA